rnacentral:rRNA from 1 species
GAUGAACGCUGACAGAAUGCUUAACACAUGCAAGUCAUUGGCGAAGCUGCGCUUGCGCAGUCUAGCCAAGGCGGACGGGUGAGUAACGCGUAAGGAACUUGCCCUGCAGACAGGGAUAACAGACGGAAACGACUGAUAACACCUGGUAUUGUCAGGCUGGCGCAUGCCGGCCUGAUGAAAGGAGACGCUGCAGGAGAGCCUUGCGUCCUAUUAGCUAGUUGGUGGGGUAACGGCCCACCAAGGCGAUGAUAGGUAGCCGGCCUGAGAGGGUGAACGGCCACAAGGGGACUGAGAUACGGCCCUUACUCCUACGGGAGGCAGCAGUGGGGAAUAUUGGACAAUGGGGGCAACCCUGAUCCAGCGAUUCUGUGUGCACGAAGAAGGUUUUCGGAUUGUAAAGUGCUUUCAGCAGGGAAGAAGAAAGUGACGGUACCUGCAGAAGAAGCGACGGCUAAAUACGUG